rnacentral:rRNA from 1 species
UGGGGAAUUUUGGACAAUGGGCGAAAGCCUGAUCCAGCAAUGCCGCGUGUGUGAAGAAGGCCUUCGGGUUGUAAAGCACUUUUGUCCGGAAAGAAAUCCUUGGCUCUAAUACAGUCGGGGGAUGACGGUACCGGAAGAAUAAGCACCGGCUAACUACGUGCCAGCAGCCGCGGUAAUACGUAGGGUGCAAGCGUUAAUCGGAAUUACUGGGCGUAAAGCGUGCGCAGGCGGUUUGCUAAGACCGAUGUGAAAUCCCCGGGCUCAACCUGGGAACUGCAUUGGUGACUGGCAGGCUAGAGUAUGGCAGAGGGGGGUAGAGUUCCACGUGUAGCAGUGAAAUGCGUAGAGAUGUGGAGGAAUACCGAUGGCGAAGGCAGCCCCCUGGGCCAAUACUGACGCUCAUGCACGAAAGCGUGGGGAGCAAACAGGAUUAGAUACCCCUGGUAGUCCACGCCCUAAACGAUGUCAACUAGUUGUUGGGGAUUCAUUUCCUUAGUAACGUAGCUAACGCGUGAAGUUGACCGCCUGGGGAGUACGGUCGCAAGAUUAAAACUCAAAUGAAUUGACGGGGUCAUAGCUGUUUCCU